GACGAAGGUGGCGAGCGUUGUUCGGAAUCACUGGGCAUAAAGCGCACGUAGGUGGCGGCGUAAGUCGGGUGUGAAAUCCCUCGGCCUAACCGAGGAACUGCGCCCGAUACUGCGUCGCUUGAGGGUCAAAGGGGUGUAUGGAAUUCCCGGUGGAGCGGUGAAAUGCGUUGAUAUCGGGAGGAACGCCGGCGGCGAAAGCGGUACACUGGUUGACUUCUGACACUCAUGUGCGAAAGCCAGGGGGAGCAAACGGGG
rnacentral:rRNA from 1 species